rnacentral:lncRNA from 1 species
CACCGCCAGUAGCACGCCCGCAGUCCUCCGGUGCGAGGGCUUGCAGUCCGGCGGCCCACCGGCCAUGGACUCCGGCGGGGGUGGUGAGGACAUGGCCAUCCCAAGGAGGCAGCGGUGACGCCUUACAGCCCAAGGAAGGGCAGGACAGCAGUCCGGCCGCCCACCCCCAGCCCCCGUGCAGUUGGCGUGGUGCGUCCGGUGCAGUGCGGAACGCGUGUGCGUGGGUGCGCAGUUCUGGCGAGGUCAAAGAACUCCCUCUUCCUCGUCCCAUGGCCGAUCCAAGGUGCUCCACGUCGACGUACAGGAAAACAAUGGGAGCGACGGCGAGGAUGGUCUUUUGGUUCACUGAUUUUGUUUUUUGCGGUUGAAAAUCGUCAGGGCCUUAUCAUACUGUAGUUUACUUUUCCUCAAGGUGCUCGCCGCCGACGUACUGCGGUUUGCUAUGAGUUGUUCUUCCGGUUGAAUUUGCAGGGUUUUUCCAGUGAAUUUUUAAAAGGAAAUCAGUUCCUUUUCCUGAGGUGUGAAGUUUACUUGUGCAUAUUUCCAUGUAAUUUUGCACUUAGUCCUGCAGUGCACUCGAUGCGGUAAGCUCUGACCGUGCCCGCAGUUUAGAUGGGAGCUUAAUGAGGUUCACAUUCAAAUGUACUGCUCAACAGUGGUUCAGCAACUCAUCCCGUGCAGCUCGGUUUGCACAGGCAUGCGGUUUGGUGUAUCGCCGCGUGCAGCUCGGGGGUGUGCAGGCGUACAGUUUGUGCAUGGGUGUUUUUUUAAGUUAAAUGAAACUGCAAGUUGUGCAUCCUGGGGGUUUGAUGUGUGUGCGGCAUUGACCAUGCAGUACUCGGAUGAACACAUGUCUCUUGCAGUUAGGCAAACGUGUGAGUGCAGUAUGACAUGUAAUUUCUGGGGGGGUUGCAUUUUUCUUCUGAUUUUGUUGUGCCAUGCGAUGUGUGGUUGCUGGACGUGCUUAUUUUCUAGGUACUAUUGUUUGUGUCUAGAGGUUCGUUUCAUCAUUCUCAAGCGGUUCAUUUUGAAGAAAGAAAAGGAUAGUUAGAAAAAGAAACUAAUGCAGUACACUGGCCUUUACUCCGGAGUUCGGACGCGUUAACACAAAAAAGAAAAAAAUGACAAAAAUAGAAGAAUGCAGUGCACUAGCCUCUACUCUGGAGUUCGGACUUGUUUCAUCAUUCUCAAGUGGUUCAUUUUGAAGAAAGAAAAGGAUAGUUAGAAAAAGAAACUAAUGCAGUACACUAGCCUCUACUCUGGAGUUCGGACGCGUUAACACAAAAAAGAAAAAAAAAUGACAAAAAUAGAAGAAUGCAGUGCACUUGGCUCGCCACUACAGUCCCUUAAGUGCGGUUUUCAUUAUGUAAAAAAAAAACAACAACUCGUAUGAGAAAAAUAACGUCCGACAAAAGAAAUUAUGCAGCUCGCUUGCUCAUCCGAUGCAGUGCGGUUUUCAUUCUGAGGCAGUGCGGUUGGUUGUAUGAUGUUGUUCAUCCCGUAAGUGCAAAAAAAUUGUUACGAAAGCGAAAAAAAGUAAUGCGGUUCACUUCUUGAUAGUGUUGUGGUUUAUUUACACCCGAUGUGAAGUGCACUCUACUUCCUCGUCCUUAAAAAAAUACGUUUGGAUAAAAUAAACCAUGCAGUUCUCUAACACGUCUGCUGCAGUGCGGUUUUUCGUCCGAUGCAGCAGCAACAUCUAUUCCACGCCCCUACUUCAACCAGCUGGACGAGGCUCCAUGGCCUUCGUGUCCUAGCUUCUACUCUCUGGACAGGUUUAUCUCUUUUCCUCUUUCCUUCUCUCCCUCUGUUGUAUGUGUGUGCAUGCGUGUGUUCUUCUUGUUAAUCAUUACUGGUGUUCAGAUUAAUUGGCAUGUCAUGCAGGACGAGUAUUGUGCAAGAAGCCCCAUUAGUAAAGUAUAAAGACCAGGAGUCAAUUUACAUCUUAUUAUCUGACCAUCUUAGAUAUUUCCUUUGUCCUUUGUAUAAGUUUAUUCCCAAUUAGGAAUCAGCUACUAUACCACAGUAGCAUUUAUCUCAUUCUGAAUCUGGAACGUAUUUUAGAAAUCCCCCAUUAGUAAUGUAUAAAGACCAGAGGUCAAUUUACAUGUUAU